rnacentral:lncRNA from 1 species
CGCGCGGGAAGUAGCAGCAGGCGGCGUCUCCCGUGGGGAGAGGAAAACUAGGGAGUCGCGGGGCGCGGUGGUGGCCGCCGCUGUGCAGGCGAGUAGCGGGCGCCGGGGCGGGAGCGGCGGCGGGGCAGCGGGGCUUGGGGCCGGCGGGCGCUUUCCUCCCUCUGCGGUGAGAGUCCGCGCAGCCCUCUGCUUUGCUUCACAGUUUCCUUCUGACCACAACUCCUGUUUCUGGGGGAAAAAGCCUCAGAACAGCAGCAGGCGGCCGAGACGUCGUGCGCGAGCCUCAGCCGGACCCGCGGAACCCAUGCUGGCACUUGCGGUUUGGGGUUUUGUGUUUGGCCGGCGUCUUGGCCAGAAGCGGGUUUGGGGAUCCCUCCGGAGCGCUUCUGCAGUGCCCCCUGUCCUGGAUGGAGCACCAGGGCGAUGACUGUCGCCUUAGCCUGGCUUCACAUCCCUGAAACCCAGAGGUCUUGGUGCAGAAAUGAAAAGAAAUGUUGAGAAAGAAGUGAAGCUGUC